UUCUGAGUUGCUCAGUGGACUGUGGAUUGAGUGAACCAUAUCCUUUUCCAUCAUGAUACACAACAGAAAGUCUCUCCACUUUGCUGCAUUCUGACUAGUGGCCAAGCACGUGACAUUCCAAACUUCAGCAAAGGUACAGUAAGGCUUUUUAUGAUGGUCACAAGGACACUUCUUCUGGCUUUGUUCAUUUUAAGGAAUCAUUGUUUGGGGUAAGUUUUUGAAAUUCUCAUUUACAGCUUUGGAAAAAACAUAUGCUAAUGUGACUAUAAUUUCUACACAUAUUUGUG